rnacentral:misc_RNA from 1 species
AAAAGCUAGAAGACACCAUGCUGCGGUGGCCCUUUACUAAUGAAAUUCCACACAAUACCCCAUGAAAAACCCACCUUCUUUGAUCAAUAAUUCAACCCUAGAUCAUAAUCAUCAUAUAUUGAUCCAAUUCUAUUUUUCAAGAAAGAAAAAGAAUUUUCCCUCUUAGAAAUGGAUCUUGAAGAAUGGGAAAUUUUGCCUCAUGGGGGAUUUCUUGAUUACCGUGAAGAUGGUGAAAAAAAGAAUUUUGCGGCAAGCAAUCGUAGCUCCAAUUCGAAAAGUGUGUUCGAUAUGAACUACUUUGUGUGCCCAUCUUCACCCCCAAAAAAUUCAAGGAUGGUGCCUAACCAACUUGUUCCAGUUCCAUUUCAGUUGGAAACAACAAGAAUCACAGCUGGUAAGGAUCAACAAGACAAAUCAAAGCCUAUUGACAUCAAGGUGAUGCCUUCUUUGAUCAUGCCAGAAGUCAAAGGUCCUGAUAUGGCUUCAAAAGAAGCUGAUCAAGACCAAGUUUCCCAAGUUUUCUUCAAGAAAAUGAA